rnacentral:rRNA from 1 species
AGUGGCGGACUGGUGAGUAACGCGUGAGGAACCUGCCUUUCAGAGGGGGACAACAGUUGGAAACGACUGCUAAUACCGCAUGACGCAUUCGGAUGGCAUCAUCUGUAUGCCAAAGAUUUAUCGCUGAAAGAUGGCCUCGCGUCUGAUUAGCUAGUUGGCGGGGUAACGGCCCACCAAGGCGACGAUCAGUAGCCGGACUGAGAGGUUGACCGGCCACAUUGGGACUGAGAUACGGCCCAGACUCCUACGGGAGGCAGCAGUGGGGAAUAUUGGGCAAUGGGCGCAAGCCUGACCCAGCACGCCGCGUGAAGGAAGAAGGCUUUCGGGUUGUAAACUUCUUUUAAGUGGGAAGAGCAGAAGACGGUACCACUUGAAUAAGCCACGGCUAACUACGUGCCAGCAGCCGCGGUAAUACGUAGGUGGCAAGCGUUGUCCGGAUUUACUGGGUGUAAAGGGCGUGCAGCCGGGCAUGCAAGUCAGAUGUGAAAUCUCAGGGCUUAACCCUGAAACUGCAUUUGAAACUGUAUGUCUUGAGUGCCGGAGAGGUAAUCGGAAUUCCUUGUGUAGCGGUGAAAUGCGUAGAUAUAAGGAAGAACACCAGUGGCGAAGGCGGAUUACUGGACGGUAACUGACGGUGAGGCGCGAAAGUGUGGGGAGCAAACAGGAUUAGAUACCCUGGUAGUCCACGCUGUAAACGAUGGAUACUAGGUGUGGGGGGAUGACCCCUUCCGUGCCGCAGUUAACACAAUAAGUAAUCCACCUGGGGAGUA